CAGCAGCCGCGGUAACACGUAGGGAGCGAGCGUUGUCCGGAAUUACUGGGUGUAAAGGGUGCGUAGGCGGGGCUGCAAGUUGGAUGUGAAAUACCGGGGCUUAACCCCGGGGCUGCAUCCAAAACUGUAGCUCUUGAGUGAAGUAGAGGCAGGCGGAAUUCCGAGUGUAGCGGUGAAAUGCGUAGAUAUUCGGAGGAACACCAGUGGCGAAGGCGGCCUGCUGGGCUUUUACUGACGCUGAGGCACGAAAGCAUGGGGAGCAAACAGGAUUAGAUACCCUGGUAGUCCAUGCCGUAAACGAUGAUUGCUAGGUGUGGGAGGACUGACCCCUUCCGUGCCGGAGUUAACACAAUAAGCAAUCCACCUGGGGAGUACGGCCGCAAGGCUAAAACUCAAAGGAAUUGACGGGGGCCCGCACAAGCAGUGGAGUAUGUGGUUUAAUUCGAAGCAACGCGAAGAACCUUACCAGGUCUUGACAUCCGACUAACGAGGCGGAAACGCGUUAGGUGCCCUUCGGGGAAAGUCGAGACAGGUGGUGCAUGGCC
rnacentral:rRNA from 1 species